UGCGUACCUUUUGUAUAAUGGGUCAGCGACUUAUAUUCUGUAGCAAGGUUAACCGAAUAGGGGAGCCGGAGGGAAACCGAGUCUUAAUUGGGCGUUAAGUUGCAGGGUAUAGACCCGAAACCCGGUGAUCUAGCCAUGGGCAGGUUGAAGGUUGGGUAACACUAACUGGAGGACCGAACCGACUAAUGUUGAAAAAUUAGCGGAUGACCUGUGGCUGGGGGUGAAAGGCCAAUCAAACCGGGAGAUAGCUGGUUCUCCCCGAAAGCUAUUUAGGUAGCGCCUCGUGAAUUCAUCUCCGGGGGUAGAGCACUGUUUCGGCUAGGGGGCCAUCCCGGCUUACCAACCCGAUGCAAACUGCGAAUACCGGAGAAUGUUAUCACGGGAGACACACGGCGGGUGCUAACGUCCGUCGUGAAGAGGGAAACAACCCAGACCGCCAGCUAAGGUCCCAAAGUCAUGGUUAAGUGGGAAACGAUGUGGGAAGGCCCAGACAGCCAGGAUGUUGGCUUAGAAGCAGCCAUCAUUUAAAGAAAGCGUAAUAGCUCACUGGUCGAGUCGGCCUGCGCGGAAGAUGUAACGGGGCUAAACCAUGCACCGAAGCUGCGGCAGCGACGCUGAUGCGUUGUUGGGUAGGGGAGCGUUCUGUAAGCCUGCGAAGGUGGCCUGUGAGGGUUGCUGGAGGUAUCAGAAGUGCGAAUGCUGACAUAAGUAACGAUAAAGCGGGUGAAAAGCCCGCUCGCCGGAAGACCAAGGGUUCCUGUCCAACGUUAAUCGGGGCAGGGUGAGUCGACCCCUAAGGCGAGGCCGAAAGGCGUAGUCGAUGGGAAACGGGUUAAUAUUCCCGUACUUGGUGUUACUGCGAAGGGGGGACGGAGAAGGCUAUGUUGGCCGGGCGACGGUUGUCCCGGUUUAAGCGUGUAGGUGUGUGUUCCAGGUAAAUCCGGUUCACUUUAACACUGAGGCGUGAUGACGAGGCACUACGGUGCUGAAGCAACAAAUGCCCUGCUUCCAGGAAAAGCCUCUAAGCAUCAGGUAACAUCAAAUCGUACCCCAAACCGACACAGGUGGUCAGGUAGAGAAUACCAAGGCGCUUGAGAGAACUCGGGUGAAGGAACUAGGCAAAAUGGUGCCGUAACUUCGGGAGAAGGCACGCUGACACGUAGGUGAAGUGAUUUACUCAUGGAGCUGAAGUCAGUCGAAGAUACCAGCUGGCUGCAACUGUUUAUUAAAAACACAGCACUGUGCAAACACGAAAGUGGACGUAUACGGUGUGACGCCUGCCCGGUGCCGGAAGGUUAAUUGAUGGGGUCAGCGCAAGCGAAGCUCCUGAUCGAAGCCCCGGUAAACGGCGGCCGUAACUAUAACGGUCCUAAGGUAGCGAAAUUCCUUGUCGGGUAAGUUCCGACCUGCACGAAUGGCGUAAUGAUGGCCAGGCUGUCUCCACCCGAGACUCAGUGAAAUUGAACUCGCUGUGAAGAUGCAGUGUACCCGCGGCAAGACGGAAAGACCCCGUGAACCUUUACUAUAGCUUGACACUGAACAUUGAGCCUUGAUGUGUAGGAUAGGUGGGAGGCUUUGAAGUGUGGACGCCAGUCUGCAUGGAGCCGGCCUUGAAAUACCACCCUUUAAUGUUUGAUGUUCUAACGUGGACCCGUGAUCCGGGUUGCGGACAGUGUCUGGUGGGUAGUUUGACUGGGGCGGUCUCCUCCUAAAGAGUAACGGAGGAGCACGAAGGUUGGCUAAUCCUGGUCGGACAUCAGGAGGUUAGUGCAAUGGCAUAAGCCAGCUUGACUGCGAGCGUGACGGCGCGAGCAGGUGCGAAAGCAGGUCAUAGUGAUCCGGUGGUUCUGAAUGGAAGGGCCAUCGCUCAACGGAUAAAAGGUACUCCGGGGAUAACAGGCUGAUACCGCCCAAGAGUUCAUAUCGACGGCGGUGUUUGGCACCUCGAUGUCGGCUCAUCACAUCCUGGGGCUGAAGUAGGUCCCAAGGGUAUGGCUGUUCGCCAUUUAAAGUGGUACGCGAGCUGGGUUUAGAACGUCGUGAGACAGUUCGGUCCCUAUCUGCCGUGGGCGCUGGAGAACUGAGGGGGGCUGCUCCUAGUACGAGAGGACCGGAGUGGACGCAUCACUGGUGUUCGGGUUGUCAUGCCAAUGGCACUGCCCGGUAGCUAAAUGCGGAAGAGAUAAGUGCUGAAAGCAUCUAAGCACGAAACUUGCCCCGAGAUGAGUUCUCCCUGAGACUUAGAGUCUCCUGAAGGAACGUUGAAGACGACGACGUUGAUAGGCCGG
rnacentral:rRNA from 1 species